rnacentral:lncRNA from 1 species
AUCUUCACUAACCCACGGGAAGUAAACAUUCUCCUGACUCUCUGCACAUUCUUCUACGUGAUUUUGAGUGACUGCAGGGUAUUAUUUCAUAUGAACGAAACAUAAUUUACUUCAUGCAAGAGUCCCAAUUUUUCACAAUUAUAAGCUUUGGACAGAUAGUCCUCAAGAUGAAGUCUCAGCCAUGGAACUUCUGGAUCAGAGAGGCUGUGCACUUUCUAGGCCUCUGAGAUGGCCCAGGGUCCACUUCCCGGAAUUUCACGUCACCUCUGAACCAAAGUCUGACUUUAGGCUCCCUGAGUCUCCACCGUUCCAGAAAGAGCUUGGCGUGACGGUGAACGGCUUGCCUCGGCGUUCAGGGGAGCUUUGCGAGAGUCACAGCUGGAGGGAGUGAGAGCGGUUCACAAGGGUUUUUGAUAAAUUCUUCACCUCGCAGGUGACUUAGACCGGGCUGCCUCUGGAAAACAGGCAGAAGACAUGUUUUGGACCUGGGCCUGACCUGUGCCAGAGCUGCCAACCCCUUGGAGGAGGUGACAGGGGACAUCUGGCAGGUGCAGAGAUGGAGAAACCAGAACCCACCUGUUCUCUGGGAGCCCAAGCAAGGGACGCAAGGGAACCAGCUACAGAAUAAUUAUAAUGCCUCCCAAGCUCAACGAUUCCCAAGGUGUGGAGGGCACACGUGUGUAAAAUGGGAAGUGGUAUUGGAGCACAUGUGGACAUGGCAUAAAUAACACUGAAUCACAAAGGACAGAGUCACGCCCUUUUCAAUGAUCUUUUAACCCUUCAGAUAAAGCACAGAGAAUGUCUCAGUUUGGUGCUAACAGGUCUUUAACACCUUUCUUGAAUCCCACCUCCUCUAAAAGGAAAAAAGAAGAUAGAGACCCAAGUCUCCAGCUGUAAUAAUAUUGAGCCAGAAAUUGGAAACAUUGCUUUCAUUGUAUUUAUUUUACAGUUGGCUUCUAAUUGACUAGUCUCACGAAUUUUUUCCGUUUACUAUUGUGACUUAAAGUUUACUUUUAAAAUAAACAUAUUUUAAGUUUUUAAAAAGUGUGUUCAUUUGAAGGAAAAGAUUAAGUAAAUAGGAGAGCAGGUGGCCAGCAGACGUGGCAGAAAUCGUGCAGGUGGCAUCCACACGGC